rnacentral:rRNA from 1 species
AUGGAGGUUGAUGGAGUGUGCACCAUUUGUGGACAGGAAGAUGAAUCAGUUCAUCAUGCACUCGUACGCUGCCCCCACGCUCGGAACUUGUGGAAUGUUAUGAGGCUAGUUUGGGACCUGCCAUCAGAGGAGGUUCUUAGUAGAAGAGAACCAGAUUGGUUGUUGCUGCUCUUACACGAAUUAUCUGAGACCCAACGGAUGCUUGUGCUCAUGGUGUUAUGGCGUGCUUGGCAUAUACACAAUGAGUUGACUCAUGACAAGCCACUGAUUCCAGUAGAGGUGUCCAAGAGGUUCCUUUGUGAUUAUGCGCAAUCCCUGUUGACAAUCAAGCACUACCCACAUGCGGAUACUAUCAAAGGGAAACUGCCGGUCCUGACAGAGUUAAGCAAUUUUGUUCCUGUCACUAGCAGUACAAAAUGUUUGGUCAGUCCUGUUGCUUGGGAACCCCCACCGGACGGACAUGUCAAACUGAAUUUUGAUGGCUCGUUCGUUGUCGCUGAUGGGUCUGCGGGAGCGGGCAUGGUACUGUGCGAUCACUUGGGCCAAGUAAUUUUUACGGCGUGUAGAUGGUUGUAUGAUUGCCCGGGACCACUGGAGGCCGAGAUUGCUGCAUGUGCUGAAGGGCUUAACUUAGCUCUGCAUUGGUCCCAGAAACCCAUCUUAGUGGAAACAGACUGUGCUAAACUUGUGUCCAUGAUCAAGACUGGACCGGCGGAUCGAUCUAGUAGCAUGUACCUUAUUUCAGAAAUCACGGAGAUGCUAAAGGAGCGACACUCCCAAGUUCGGAAGAUCACUCGUGCGCAGAACAAGGUUGGACACGCUAUGGCAGCGAUAGGGCGUGGACAGCAAAGGACGGCUUGUUGGCUCGCAAAUGUUUCUCAUGAGAUUAGCAUUGUCGUUAUGAAUGAUUGUAACACUAUGAUCAAUUAA